rnacentral:rRNA from 1 species
UCAUUGUAGCAUACAAGGCAUACGGCUCAGUAACGCGUAGUCAACCUAACCUAUGGACGGGAAUAACCUCGGGAAACUGAGAAUAAUGCCCGAUAGAACACUAUACCUGGAAUGGUUUGUGUUCCAAAUGAUUUAUCGCCAUAGGAUGGGACUGCGGCCUAUCAGUUUGUUGGUGAGGUAAUGGCCCACCAAGACUAUUACAGGUACGGGCUCUGAGAGGAGUAGCCCGGAGAUGGGUACUGAGACACGGACCCAGGCCCUAUGGGGCGCAGCAGGCGAGAAAACUUUGCAAUGUGCGAAAGCACGACAAGGUUAAUCCGAGUGAUUUGUGCUAAACGAAUCUUUUGUUAGUCCUAGAAACACUAACGAAUAAGGGGUGGGCAAGUUCUGGUGUCAGCUGCCGCGGUAAAACCAGCACCUCAAGUGGUCAGGAUGAUUAUUGGGCCUAAAGCAUCCGUAGCCGGCUCUGUAAGUUUUCGGUUAAAUCUGUACGCUUAACGUACAGGCUGCCGGGAAUACUGCAAAGCUAGGGAGUGGGAGAGGUAGACGGUACUCGGUAGGAAGUGGUAAAAUGCUUUGAUCUAUCGAUGACCACCUGUGGCGAACGCGGUCUACCAGAACACGUCCGACGGUGAGGGAUGAAAGCUGGGGGAGCAAACCGGGAUUAGAUACCCUGGUAGUCCCAGCUGUAACUAUGCAAGCUCAGUGAUGCAAUGCCUGUGUCGAUGCCAGUGCCUGCCAAGGGA